rnacentral:tRNA from 1 species
GGGCCUGUAGCGCAGCUGGGAGCGCGCCACAAUGGCAUUGUGGAGGUCGUCGGUUCGAUCCCGAUCAGGUCCACCA